rnacentral:rRNA from 1 species
AGUCACUGACAUUAGAUACCCCGGUAGUCCCAGCCGUAAACAAUGUGCGUUAGGUGUGUCGGUAACCACGUGUUACUGAUGCGCCGAAGAGAAAUCGUGAAACGCACCACCUGGGAAGUACGGUCGCAAGGCUGAAACUUAAAGGAAUUGGCGGGGGAGCACCACAACAGGUGGAGCCUACGGUUUAAUUGGAUUCAACGCCGGACAUCUCACCGGAUAAGACAGCUGAAUGAUUGUCAAUCUGAAGGUUUUACAUGACUAGCUG